CAGGAUCUGGGGGAGAGGCACCCUUAUCUACCCCACCCCCAGCUAUGUGUCCACAGUGCCCCACCCCACUCCCCAUCCCUCUAGGAUCCCUUGGUGAGAUACUACUUCCAUGGUGGGAGGAGCCCAGGAAGGUGGGCUCAGCUUCUAGGGGUGGAGGUGGGCAUGUGGAGCAGGAAAUACAUGCUUGGAGUAGCAAACAUGUGCAGGGCCCACUGCACAGGCUCUGGAGAUUCAGGCUGGGUCUCCCCAGGGCGGUGGCUCAACAACAACGCUUUUUCCACAGCUCAGUCAGUUCAUUCACCCCCAAAGCCAGCCCACAGCCUCCAGCCCCAGCCCAUUCUUUUUGCUCCCAGUGCUGGGCGCGGCCCCUGGAAGCCUGCCCAGGGGCCCGUAGCAGGAAAAAACCAGCCGCCUUGUGCCUGGUGUGAGGCAGGGCAGGACAAAGUGGCACAGACAGGGAUUAGGAGGAAGGAGGGGAGGCGCAGGGCUGCAUGGCUCCUUGCAGGGCUCACAUGACACCACCAGACAGAAACCCACAGUUGCUUUCAGCCUCCAUUUGCCUUACCACACCUGACCAUGCACACACAGUCUCAUGCAACCCAGCAAACACAAGCUAGUGUGCCUUCACAUGGUCACGCACACACCAAACACACUGCAGCGACAGUGUAUGCAACUCCCGGCAUCUCAGCACCCCUCUGACCUUUCUGUGUGUUUGUUUUUCUGUCUUACAAACACACACAUCCCACCCCAGAGCCUCCACAUCAGGAUCUUACAUCUGGAUCCAUUUACCAUAUCUGGCCCCCACCCACUUCCCCUUCUCCUGCCCCAGAGCCUUGGUCUGAUACCUCUUUCAUGCCAGUCAGGCGACCACAACUCACCAGACCAAGCGACAGGAAACGCUGAGCAGAGAGAAAGGGCUGGGGAGAGAGAAAAAUGGGGGAAGCUCAGCGGUCUGACCUAUUUAUACCCUGGCCAGGCCCUGCCCAUGGCAGGGGAUGGGGGAGAGUGGAGACAGCCCUCCUGCCGUGGGCCCAUGUGAAGCUGGGUGCCUGGAGACUGGCUGGGAAUCCUCUCUUUCCUGUGCAGCCCUGGCCUGUCUCAACCCGUCCCCAGGAAUGAAGCAGAGAAGCAAGGAGGAGGCAGAGGGAGCUCACUGAAGGUCAAUCUCUUUUGAGAUACGAAAGAGAAGCUAGCAAAGGGACGGGGGACCUCAUACCACCAAGAAACCAGAGCCAGGAGAAUAGCACGUCCUUUGGACCCAGGGUCCCUGUGCUGAGAAGCUCCUCGACUGGGGAAGAUUGAUGACAAGGACCUUCCCCCAGAAGCAACAGAAGGAGAAGGCCUUCCCCUGGCACCCCAAAUUGGACUUCUAGCCUCCUAGACUGUGAGAAAAUAAACUUCUGUUUGUUAAA